CUCAGGAUGAACGCUAGCGACAGGCUUAACACAUGCAAGUCGAGGGGCAGCACAGGUAGCAAUACCGGGUGGCGACCGGCGCACGGGUGAGUAACGCGUAUGCAACUUGCCUAUCAGAGGGGGAUAACCCGGCGAAAGUCGGACUAAUACCGCAUGAAGCAGGGGCCCCGCAUGGGGAUAUUUGCUAAAGAUUCAUCGCUGAUAGAUAGGCAUGCGUUCCAUUAGGCAGUUGGCGGGGUAACGGCCCACCAAACCGACGAUGGAUAGGGGUUCUGAGAGGAAGGUCCCCCACAUUGGUACUGAGACACGGACCAAACUCCUACGGGAGGCAGCAGUGAGGAAUAUUGGUCAAUGGGCGCGAGCCUGAACCAGCCAAGUCGCGUGAGGGAUGAAGGUUCUAUGGAUCGUAAACCUCUUUUAUAAGGGAAUAAAGUGCGGGACGUGUCCCGUUUUGUAUGUACCUUAUGAAUAAGGAUCGGCUAACUCCGUGCCAGCAGCCGCGGUAAUACGGAGGAUCCGAGCGUUAUCCGGAUUUAUUGGGUUUAAAGGGUGCGUAGGCGGCCUUUUAAGUCAGCGGUGAAAGUCUGUGGCUCAACCAUAGAAUUGCCGUUGAAACUGGGAGGCUUGAGUAUGUUUGAGGCAGGCGGAAUGCGUGGUGUAGCGGUGAAAUGCAUAGAUAUCACGCAGAACCCCGAUUGCGAAGGCAGCCUGCCAAGCCAUUUACUGACGCUGAUGCACGAAAAGCG
rnacentral:rRNA from 1 species